GCUCGAUUGCGGCUUCGCUCGCAUGUAUACAAUGGCUGCAGCUUUUACAGCAAAAUUUCAUGAUUUUGUGGUUUCAUAUCUCCGGUAUAAUUUUGAUUGGAGCUUUCAAACUUUGGAAUAUGAAGCUGCACUAAACAUUAAAGUGCUUGCUCACUUACUUCUAGCAGAGGAUCUUGUCUCUAUUACAUACCAAUGUCCCGAAACCAUCUUUAGUUGCUGUUUCCAUGCAUUGAUUAUAUAAAGAAUGACUUCAAAAAUAAUUCAGAUAUUCUUUAUUGUAAAUCAACAUUAUAAACUUUUAUCAAAGGACACAGAGUAAAUUAGUAAAUUAGUAUGUAUAGAUCAGAAUCAUAACUACAUUUCUUGUUGAGAAAUAUAUAUACAGGAUCACUUUUUCAAUCAA